CGCCCGCCGCGGAAAGUGAGUUGCGUGGGCGCCGCGCCGGGGAUCUCAGAGCUGGGAGUGCAGAGCUGCACGGAGCAGCGCCGCGUGCAGCCGACCCGGGGGUCCUGUCUCUGGCGGGGUGGCCAAGUCCCAUUCACCCAAAGAGGAAGUGGAGGCCCAGAGAGGGACCAUGGGCUCCAUGUUCCGGAGUGAGGAGGUGGCGCUCGUCCAGCUCUUCCUGCCCACAGCUGCUGCCUACGCCUGCGUGAGCCAGCUUGGGGAGCUGGGCCUUGUGGAGUUCAGAGACCUCAAUGCCUCGGUGAGUGCCUUCCAGAGACGUUUCGUGGUAGAUGUUCGUCGCUGUGAAGAGCUGGAGAAGACCUUCGCCUUCCUGCAGGAGGAGGUACGGCAGGCUGGGCUGACGCUGCCUCUGCCUGAGGGGGCGCUGCCGGCGCCCUUGCCCCGCGACCUUCUGCACAUCCAGGAGGAGACGGAUCGCCUAGAACAGGAGCUCCGGGACGUGCGGGGCAACCGGCAGGCCCUGCGGGCCCAACUCCACCAGCUGCAGCUCCACUCGGCUGUACUGGGCCAGGGCCAUGGCCCCUCGUUGGCAGCCAGCCACACAGAUGGGCCCCUGGAAAGAACACCCCUGCUCCAGUCCCCCGGGGGGCCGCACCAGGACCUGAGGGUCAACUUCGUAGCAGGUGCCGUGGAGCCCCACAAGGCCGCCGCCCUGGAGCGCCUGCUCUGGAGGGCCUGCCACGGCUUCCUCAUCGCCAGCUUCAGGGACGUGGAGCAGCCGCUGGAGGGGCCCGUGACGGGUGAGCCUGCGACGUGGGUGACCUUCCUCAUCUCCUACUGGGGAGAGCAGAUCGGGCAGAAGAUUCGCAAGAUCACUGACUGCUUCCACUGCCACGUCUUCCCAUUUGUGGAGCAGGAGGAGGCCCGCCGCGCAGCCCUGCAGCAGCUGCAGCAGCAGAGCCAAGAGCUGCAGGAGGUCCUGGGUGAGACGGAGCACUUCCUGAGCCAGGUGCUGGGCCGGGUGCAGAGACUGUUGCCGCCCUGGCAGGUGCAGAUCCGCAAGAUGAAGGCCGUGUACCUGGCCCUCAACCAGUGCAGCGUGAGCACCACGCACAAGUGCCUCAUCGCCGAGGCCUGGUGUGCCACGCGCGACCUGCCCACCCUGCAGCAGGCGCUGCAGGGCAGCUCGAGCGAGGCGGGUGUGAGCGCCGUGGUUCACCGCAUCCCCUGCCGGGACAUGCCCCCCACACUCAUCCGUACCAACCGCUUCACGGCCAGCUUCCAGGGCAUCGUGGACGCCUAUGGUGUGGGCCGCUACCAGGAGGUCAACCCCGCACCCUACACCAUCAUCACCUUCCCCUUUCUCUUCGCCGUCAUGUUCGGUGACGUGGGCCACGGGCUGCUCAUGUUUCUCUUCGCCCUGGCCAUGGUGCUGGCCGAGAACCGGCCAGCCGUGAAGACGGCGCAGAACGAGAUCUGGAGGACCUUCUUUGAGGGCCGCUACCUGCUCCUGCUCAUGGGCCUGUUCUCCGUCUACACCGGCUUCAUCUACAACGAGUGCUUCAGCUGCGCCACGGCUGUCUUCCCCUCGGGCUGGAGCGUGGCGGCCAUGGCCAACCAGUCGGGCUGGAGUGACGCCUUCCUGGCCCAGCAGCCGCUGCUCUCCCUGGACCCCAAUGUCACCGGCGUCUUCCUGGGACCGUACCCCUUCGGCAUCGACCCGGUCUGGAGCCUGGCUGUCAACCACCUGAGCUUCCUCAACUCCUUCAAGAUGAAGAUGUCUGUCAUCCUGGGGGUCACCCACAUGACCUUCGGGGUGGUCCUGGGAGUCUUCAACCACAUGCACUUCGGCCAGUGGCACCGGCUGCUGCUGGAGACCCUCCCCGAGCUGGUCUUCCUGCUGGGGCUGUUCGGCUACCUCGUCUUCCUGGUCGCCUACAAGUGGCUGCGAGUCACGGCCGCCAGCGCGGCCUCGGCCCCCAGCAUCCUCAUCCACUUCAUCAACAUGUUCCUCUUCUCCAGCAGCCCCACAAACCGGCCACUUUUCUCCGGGCAGGAAGUGGUGCAGCCCACGCUGGUGGUCCUGGCCCUGGCCAUGGUGCCCGUCCUGCUGCUUGGCACGCCCUUGUUCCUGCACCGGGAGCGCCGCCGCUGCCACUCUCGGAGGAGGCAACAGCCGGUAGAGGAUAAGGACACAGCCGGGCUUCUGGACCUGCCUGACACGUCCCUGGCCAGCCAGGGCUCUGAUGAGGAGAAGGCAGGAUGCCCAGGGGACCAGGCGGAGGCCGAGUUUGUCCUGUCCGAGGUAUUCAUGCACCAAGCCAUCCACACCAUCGAGUUCUGCCUGGGCUGCAUCUCCAACACGGCCUCCUACCUGCGCCUUUGGGCCCUGAGCCUGGCCCACGCCCUAUGCGGGCCUCUCACGGUUGUGGCCUCUCCCGUUGCGGGGCACAGGCUCCGGACGCGCAGGCUCAGCGGCCAUGGCUCACGGGCCCAGCCGCUCCGCGGCAUGUGGGAUCUUCUCAGACCGGGGCACGAACCUGUGUCCCCUGCAUCGGCAGGCGGACCCUCAACCACUGCGCCACCAGGGAAGCCCUGGUCGCUUCUUAGUAUCCCUGUCUGUAAAGGGGGGACGUCGGAGGAGGUCCCCCGCUGGCCCACGGGGAGGGCGGGCUUCGGGACGCCGAGGUGGCUUGGUGGUCCCCACGGUUCCCUCCUCCAUCUGCAGAGCUGUCACAGGUCCUGUGGGCCAUGGUGAUGCGAGCCGGCCUGAGCCUGGGCGGCGAGAUGGGUGUGGCGGCUGUGGUGCUGGUCCCCGUAUUCGCCGCCUUCGCCGUGAUGACCGUGGCCAUCCUGCUGGUGAUGGAGGGGCUCUCGGCCUUCCUGCACGCGCUGCGGCUGCACUGAAAUGAUUCCCAAUGUCGAAUCCCCUGAAAAAGAGCGAGAGGCACAGAAAAUGAGGCAGCAGCCCCGCUGCGAGCGCCCCCGGGCCCCCGGGGUCCCGAAAGCAUGAACGCUUCAGUGACGGGACAGACCAAAGCACCCUGGCCCGCUGUCUGGAGCAACCGCUCAGGAGUGCCGUCCUGCGGUCAGUGCUUUGGUGAAGCCAACGAAAGGCCAAGUUCUGGAUUCUGAGGACCUGGCCCCUGCUCCCACUGACGCAGCUGAGAACAGGCUGCGCUGCCCCACGCGGCCAUUGCGGCCGCUGGGACACAAAGUGCUGGCCUCCAGGGAGGAAACUUCCAACUCAGGAUGGUAUCGUGACCUACUUUCUCCUUCGUUCCGCACACACACAGAAUACUGAAAUAAAAACAUUUGACUUUACCUGUA